rnacentral:tRNA from 1 species
UAUUUAAAUAGCUUAAAUUAGAGCACAACACUGAAGAUGUUGGGGUGAUUAUUGUCUUUAAAUAA